AUUGAACGCUGGCGGCAGGCCUAACACAUGCAAGUCGAACGAGUGGCGGACGGGUGAGUAAUGUCUGGGAAACUGCCCGAUGGAGGGGGAUAACUACUGGAAACGGUAGCUAAUACCGCAUACCAUCGGAUGUGCCCCGAUGGGAUUAGCUAGUAGGUGGGGUAACGGCUCACCUAGGCGACGAUCCCUAGCUGGUCUGAGAGGAUGACCAGCCACACUGGAACUGAGACACGUUCCGGACGCCUACGGGAGGCAGCAGUGGGGAAUAUUGCACAUUGGGCGCAAGCCUGAUGCAGCCAUGCCGCGGGGAUGAAGAAGGCCUUCGGGUUGUAAAGGACUUUCAGCGGGGAGGCGUUACCCGCAGAAGAAGCACCGGCUAACUCCGUGCCAGCAGCCGCGGUAAUUC
rnacentral:rRNA from 1 species